rnacentral:rRNA from 1 species
UACAGAGGUCUCAAGCGUUGUUCGGAUUCAUUGGGCGUAAAGGGUGUGUAGGUGGCGCGCUAAGUCGGGUGUGAAAUUUCGGAGCUUAACUCCGAAACUGCAUUCGAUACUGGCGUGCUUUGAGGACUGGAGAGGAGACUGGAAUUCAUGGUGAGCAGUAGAAAUGCGUAGAGAUCAUGAGGAAGACCAGUGGCGAAGGCGGGUCUCUGGACAGUUCCUGACACUGAGACACGGAAGGCCCAGGGGAGCAAAACGGGG